CUCCAUGAUUAGGUAGAGCGUUUUGUCAGUUUCAAUGACUUCGAACAACUUCACUGGGGGAGGGGAAAGGAUAUGGGAGAAAAAGAAACAGACGUCUGUAUGUAUAUACACUGUACAUAUAAACUGUCAGCAGGAUCAACUAAAGGAUGGAGUCUCCACUGAAGGGCCUUGUCAGAUAUUUUAAUUGGAUGAAGACAUCCUUAUCCAGUUCACGCAGCACCAAACUAGAAGGGAUAGCUAAUACAGAAGACUCACUAUUCAAAAUACCUCAACAGACUGGAAUUGUGGCAGAAAACCAAUUAAAUGAUCUUUAGCAGAAGUCGAAUUCAGCAUUGACAUGACAUUAUAUAUUUGUUUACUGCUGCUCUCCUACUAGGAUGUCAAUUCCAUUAAAGCAGGAACUUAACUUGGUUCAAUGUUGUCUCCACACUGCUUUGAACAGUGUCUGGCAUACAGUAGGUAUUUAAUAAUAAGUGUUUGUUGAAUGAAUGAGUGAAUAAAAAAAAAGCUACAUAAAAACAUGGCUUAUGCAAUGUUUGGAGGGAGAGGUGGAGUACAAGGCCUACUUCUCUUAAGUACUAGAAAUAUUCCUCCCAACUUUAAACUACUAACUUCUUUACAGGGACUACAAAGGAAAAUCUUGGGUUAGUUCCAGUCUAAGUUCUCAUAAUCCUAAAUUGGGAAAAUUUUAACUAAUUGCAGUAAGGUGGCACAAUGGAGUGGAAAGAACUGUAUUUUGGAGUCAGAGCAGGAUUUACAUGUUCACCCCACCACUUACUAUGAGAGCUGAACUAUAUCUAC